ACCAAAAUGGCGGAAAGUUAACAACAGGUUUUAGUUGUAUUCUUGCUUUCAUCAACAUCCUUGCCUGUGUGAUUUCAUUUGUUUCCAUCUUCAUGAGCAACAAUUACAUCACCUUACCUCAGUCGCACAUCAGACAGAAUGAUACAAGACUGGGACAAAUGCUUGCUGAGACACCCCCUACAGACUUGUCCUGCCUGAAGAUGAGGACAGAAAGCAGGAUGAUCCCCCUGACUUACAGUUUCUCAAUCUGCUGAAACCAGUGGCACACUUCUCUGGACUUGACUUUGACGAAGGCACUCAAGGGGAGAGAGGCAAUCUGAGCGUCACACGAAACUGGGCCAACCCUGAUGGUUCUGACAGAAAGCUCCUGUACAACGGGAUGAGUUACGAGAACGGCUCCAUCACAGUACCGGCAGCAGGAGUGUACUACAUCACAAGUCAUGUCAAGUUCUACGUCGAGGACAACAAGAAGGACGACAAGCCACUCCAAACAUUCCAGCACCAGGUUGUCCGCUAUAGCGCCUCCAGCCAGACACAGCUCGUGUUGUUUGAGAAUGCCGUGACUGAGUGUAAAGAGGGCAUCAAUGACGGAGCUCACCUGGAGUACCCGAGUGAUGCUGGUGGACUGGCUCAGUUAGAUGCUGGAGACCAGGUGAUGGUGAAAUCGUCACAUCUUCAUUUGCUGAGACACGAUCGUGACUGGCACUUUCUUGACGUCUUUGUCAUAUAAAGAUGCAGGAAAUGCUGGCGAAAUUACUUCUUUGCUUUCGUUUUGCACCAUGCUUCGUCUGUUCCAUUAACUAUACAGUUCUUUCCUGGCAUCUAUGCAUCUAACUUUCGGUCAUAUCAGUUUACAUGUCAGUCAGACCUGAUUUAUUACACCAAGAGUGUCCAACAGGAUAUACUCUAAACUUUCAGUACAGCUGUUACCACCCUUUCACGGUGUGCACCAGAUUGAUAACUAUUGCUGAUUUGUAAUCCAUGAUUAUUGAUCUGUUAGCAAACAACAGACGAAGUCCAUACGCCACAUGUGUGCAGUUCAGGGUUACCUAGUGUUAAUCGUUUUGAUUUGACAACCGCGACUCACUACUAACAUCCAGGAUGGAACAUCCAGGCCGACUCUUGUUUGUUGAUUUCUUCUUCGGUACAAUAAACACAAGUAAAGAUUG
rnacentral:misc_RNA from 1 species